AUCAACGCUGGCGGCGUGCCUCAGACAUGCAAGUCGAACGCGAAAUCCCGAGCAAUCGGGAAAGUAGAGUGGCGCACGGGUGAGUAACACGUAGGUAAUCUACCUUCGGAUGGGGAAUAACCCCGAGAAAUCGGGGCUAAUACCGCAUAAUGCAGCGGCACCUAAUGGUGACAGUUGUUAAAGCGGGGGAUCGAAAGACCUCGCGUCUGAAGAGGAGCCUGCGGCGGAUUAGCUAGUUGGUAAGGUAAAGGCUUACCAAGGCGACGAUCCGUAACCGGCCUGAGAGGGCGGUCGGUCACACUGACACUGACAUACGGGUCAGACUCCUACGGGGAGGCAGCAGGUAC
rnacentral:rRNA from 1 species